rnacentral:piRNA from 1 species
UGGAGAAUUAGAAUAUGAGGUGGAGAAUUCA